GACGCCGUUAACGGCAAACGGAGAAACGCCGCCGCCGACCCGCGGGAGGUACUUUCUCCAUCACUGCCAAAAGUGGACCUGAUGUGAACUAGAAUGAAGUUGGCUGGACCUGCAGUGAAGUGGACCUGAAGCUAACUGGACCUCAAGUAGUCUGUGGAAGCUUCAAGGACCAACAACACAUCUCGGUACGACAAGUCGAGACUCGACCGUACAGACCCGUCCGGUCUCGCACACGACGCCGUUAACGGCAAACGGAGAAACGCCGCUGGGAGGCACUUUCUCCAACACUGCCUACAGUGGACCUGAUGUGAACUAGAAUGAAGUUGGCUGGACAUAAAGUUUACUGGACCUCAAAUAGUCUGUGUCACCCGACGGGAGUCAGAAACGUCAUUUUUGUGCGGACCGGCGACUCGACGGACCCCGGCCGAGGACGCCGC